GACGAACGCUGGCGGCGUGCCUAACACAUGCAAGUGGAGCGACGAACCAGACUUCGGUCUGGGGCCAAGCCGCGAACGGGUGAGUAACACGUGGGUAACCUGCCCCGAUGAUCGGGACAACCCGGGGAAACCCGGGCUAAUACCGAAUGUGGUCGCGGUCCGUGAGGACUGUGACGAAAGGAAGCUUCGGCCUCCGCAUCGGGAUGGGCCCGCGGCCCAUUAGCUUGUUGGUGGGGUAAUGGCCUACCAAGGCAUCGAUGGGUAGCUGGUCUGAGAGGACGAUCAGCCACACUGGGAGUGAGACACGGCCCAGACUCCUACGGGAGGCAGCAGUGGGGAAUCUUGCGCAAUGCGCGAAAGCGUGACGCAGCAACGCCGCGGGGGGGAAGAAGGCUUUCGGGUCGUAAACCCCUUUCAGUUGGGACGAAGCUUCGCCGGUGAAUAGCCGGCCGGAGUGACGGUACCUUCACAAGAAGCCCCGGCUAACUACGUGCCAGCAGCCGCCGCAG
rnacentral:rRNA from 1 species